CCGCAACCUCAGCUCAGCCAUGCAUGUGUAAGUAUAAAUAAUUCUACUUUGAAACUGCGAAUGGCUCAUUAUAUCAGUUAUAGUUUAUUAGAAAAAAUGUACUACUUGGAUAACCGUAGUAAUUCUAGGGCUAAUACAUGAAUGAAUCCUCGACUUUGAAGAGGUGUGUUUAUUAGUAUGAAAACCAUAUGCUUCGGCAUGAUAGUGAGUAAUAAUAACCUUUCGUAUCGUAUGUUGACAUAACGAUAGUUCUUUCAAGUUUCUGCCCUAUCAGCUUUCGAUGGUAGUGUAUUGGACUACCAUGGCAGUAACGGGUAACGAAGAAUUUGGGUUCGAUUUCGGAGAGGGAGCCUGAGAGAUGGCUACCACAUCCAAGGAAGGCAGCAGGCGCGUAAAUUACCCAAUCCUGACAUAGGGAGGUAGUGACAAUAAAUCACAAUGCGGGACUAUUUAUUUUUGCAUUGGAAUUGAAAACAUGGUACAAAAUUUAUCAAUAAACAAUUGAAGGGCAAGUCGGGUGCCACCACCCGCGGUAAUUCCACCUCCAAUACCGAAAAUAAACGUUGUGGCAUUAAAAAAACCCUA
rnacentral:rRNA from 1 species